UUUUCAAUAUCAUGUCUAAUAGGGUUUGCAAGCAUUCUUUCAUUGAUCUGUAGUAAGAACUUGCUGACUGCUCCCACGGUGAACAACGUAACCUCUGCCAUAUGCUUCCACUAGAUUAGGUAAUUUAUCUAUUUAGGUUGUGCUUGGAAAUUUUGUUAGACUGAAACAUCCCAAUUGUAGCUAUAUACUUCUAGAAUAUACUUCGUGAAUUAUUUUUCUGUCCUAAUGGACUCAUUCUAUGCAUGUUCUACUAGACAUUUGCA
rnacentral:lncRNA from 1 species